GUGGGGAAUUUUGGACAAUGGGCGCAAGCCUGAUCCAGCAAUGCCGCGUGCAGGAAGAAGGCCUUCGGGUUGUAAACUGCUUUUGUACGGAACGAAACGGUCCGGGUUAAUACCCUGGGCUAAUGACGGUACCGUAAGAAUAAGCACCGGCUAACUACGUGCCAGCAGCCGCGGUAAUACGUAGGGUGCGAGCGUUAAUCGGAAUUACUGGGCGUAAAGCGUGCGCAGGCGGUUAUGUAAGACAGAUGUGAAAUCCCCGGGCUCAACCUGGGAACUGCAUUUGUGACUGCAUAGCUAGAGUACGGCAGAGGGGGAUGGAAUUCCGCGUGUAGCAGUGAAAUGCGUAGAGAUCUGGAGGAAUACCGAUGGCGAAGGCAGCCAUCUGGCCUAAUACUGACACUGAGGUGCGAAAGCAUGGGGAGCAAACAGGAUUAGAAACCCCGGUAGUCC
rnacentral:rRNA from 1 species